rnacentral:snoRNA from 1 species
CACCUCCCAGAUCGCAUCUGGAGAGUGACCAGUGCUCUGUCAGCUUUGGAGGUGGAACGGGGACAAAGCCACAGAGCUUUGCCACAGACCAGCAACUGGAAGACACUCUGACAUAGUG